AAGUCAUAACAAGGUUUCCGUAGGUGAACCUGCGGAAGGAUCAUUAGUGAAUCGACCUCACGGUCUAACACAUUAUCCACACACACCUGUGAACUGUUUUUGAAUGCUCUGUGAAUGGACGAAAGUCUGGAAGCGAGUGUUUGAUCUAUUACAAACUUUUGUUGUUUUGAAUGUAUAACAUAUAACAAAAACAAAACUUUCAACAACGGAUCUCUUGGCUCUC
rnacentral:misc_RNA from 1 species